rnacentral:rRNA from 1 species
GCACUGUAAGGAUGGUGCAGGAACAAGAGCUGGGCAAGACUCGGUGCCAGCCGCCGCGGUAAUAGCAGCAGCUCGAGUGAUAGUCGAUAUUAUUGGGCUUAAAGUGUCCGUAGCUGGCCGUGUCAAGUCCGUCGUGAAAUCCAGCUCGCUCUAACGUAGUGGGCGUGCAGCGGAUAACUGCACUGGCUAGGGACCGGACGACUGUGAGAGGCUAUGUCCAGGAGUAGGAGUGAAAAUCCCGUAAUCCUGUACGGACCGCCGAUGGCGAAAGCACUCAAGACUACGGAUCCGACAGUGAGGGACGAAAGCCAGGGUCUCGAACCGGAUUAGAUACCCGCGUAGUCCUAGCCGUAAACGAUGCCUCUAGAUGUGGCACAACCUACGGGCUUGGGCGGUGCCGAAGGAA